rnacentral:rRNA from 1 species
GACGAACGCUGGCGGCGUGCCUAAUACAUGCAAGUCGAGCGAGACUCUUCGGAGUCUAGCGGCGGACGGGUGAGUAACACGUGGGCAACCUGCCUCUAAGACUGGGAUAACACCGGGAAACCGGUGCUAAUACCGGAUAAUCCUUUUCCUCUCAUGAGGAAAAGCUGAAAGUCGGUUUCGGCUGACACUUACAGAUGGGCCCGCGGCGCAUUAGCUAGUUGGUGAGGUAAUGGCUCACCAAGGCGACGAUGCGUAGCCGACCUGAGAGGGUGAUCGGCCACACUGGGACUGAGACACGGCCCAGACUCCUACGGGAGGCAGCAGUAGGGAAUCUUCCACAAUGGACGAAAGUCUGAUGGAGCAACGCCGCGUGAGCGAUGAAGGCCUUCGGGUCGUAAAGCUCUGUUGUUAGGGAAGAACAAGUACCGGAGUAACUGCCGGUACCUUGACGGUACCUAACCAGAAAGCCACGGCUAACUACGUGCCAGCCGCCGCGGUAACAC